UGGCAGCUGCUGAGCAUUACAGGGUUCCUGCUGUAAACUUGUGCUCUGGGGCCGUGACAGAACGGGGGAGGGAAGAGCCGUGACGGGUCCCGGUGCGCAGAUACAAGGAAGCAGAUUUUAGGCUGUCGUAUGUUGGGAGGUCAAAAUGCCACCCUUUUGGCAAGUUGGCGAGAAGCAGCUGCCCCAUGAAAUAAUCUUUCUGGCCUGGUCGCCUAAAAGAGAUCUCAUUGCCCUCGUCAACAAAGCCGGUGAGUACUGGCAUUUGGUGUUGGUGAUACAAAGAAAGUUGUUUUGUGUGAUGUAGAGAAACCUGAAAGUCUCCAUUCCUUCUCACUGGAAACACCAAUACCAUGUAUGCAGUGGAUGGAAGUAAAGCUGGAA